rnacentral:rRNA from 1 species
UACGUAGGGUGCGAGCGUUAAUCGGAAUUACUGGGCGUAAAGGGUGCGCAGGCGGUCUCGUAAGCUGGGUGUGAAAGCCCCGGGCUUAACCUGGGAAUGGCGCUUGAAACUACAGGACUGGAGUAUGGCAGAGGGAGGUGGAAUUCCACGUGUAGCGGUGAAAUGCGUAGAGAUGUGGAGGAACACCGAUGGCGAAGGCAGCCUCCUGGGCCAAUACUGACGCUCAUGCACGAAAGCGUGGGGAGCAAACAGG